UACCAGUGCACCUAUAUCAUGCAGGGCAGCUGCAGGGUGCGCCUUAUCAUGCAAUAAAACAAUUUCUGGCGCAUCAUCGCCUGGUUGUAGGCAUGUACUACCCUGUCUGAUGGUGGUGACUACCGAGUUGUAUUAUUGUUCCUCCCGCAGCUUUAUUCAAAAUACGUGCCACCUAACGACAUCCAGACACAAAUGAUGUUAUCAGAAAAUUUUUGAGGAGCUAAACCAGAGGCAUUGUAGCCUCUUGAGGACGUCAUUGAGAGAGACACGAGGCCUGUGUAUGAAAGCUACUCUGUAUCUGGCCCACAGCAAGUUGCAGUGCAUGUUGUAAAAAUAACGAUCAUGAACAGCUCCAGCUUCACUCUGGUGCAGAAGGAUAACCUCAGGACAUUGUUUCCUACAGCUGUGGUCUUGAUGAGCUGUACGUUACUUGACGUCUAGAUCAUCUUGUGGAUCACUGGAUAACACAUGCAUCAAGUCUCCAAGUUUGUUGGUGUCGGGGAGGAACAAUGAAAGAAAACAUGGAGAUGCUAUAGCUCAACAGAGAGGUCUUUCCACUACCUCACUGCAGGACCUCUCAUCUUGCCAUACAUCUCAGCAUCCUGUGGUGACAGGUACAUAGAAUAUGUCAGUCUGUUUGUCAACGCCCAUGUUUCUGCUAUGUACAGAAGAGUAGAUCUGACACAGGCUUCGUAUACCAAAAAACUGGCAAUUAUUUGCCAUGCAGCUGCUACUCUCACCUUUACUGCUCUCUCUGCACCAAAUAUAACACCACACAUCAAAAUACUUACCUCCUCAGAGGAGCUCACAACUGUUCCUCCAGUGCCAUUGUUGGAAGCCAACAACUGAACCUGCAGCUGCAUCACCUGCAAGAUACAUUUCUUUAAUUGCCUGCAUAUAAUGUGCAUAUAAGAACAUACUGACAGAAGAAAAGGAACAUGAAGUGAAAUUUACUGUGGCAUAAGGGGAUCAACAUGUUAAUUAUUAAUUUUUGUUUUGACUUCCAUAAGCUGGAGCAAAAACGCUAUAUUGAAUCACCU
rnacentral:lncRNA from 1 species